UCCCAGAUGGCUUGGUGGUAAAGGAUCUGCCUGCCAAUGCAGGAGACACAGGUUCAAUCCCUGUGUUGGGAA
rnacentral:tRNA from 1 species